GGGAGAGCGCUUGCAUGGCAUGCAAGAGGUCAGCGGUUCGAUCCCGCUUACCUCCACCA
rnacentral:tRNA from 1 species